rnacentral:rRNA from 1 species
AACGCUAGCUACAGGCUUAACACAUGCAAGUCGAGGGGUAGCAUGGUCUUAGCUUGCUAAGGCCGAUGGCGACCGGCGCACGGGUGAGUAACACGUAUCCAACCUGCCGUCUACUCUUGGACAGCCUUCUGAAAGGAAGAUUAAUACAAGAUGGCAUCAUGAGUCCACAUGUUCACAUGAUUAAAGGUAUUCCGGUAGACGAUGGGGAUGCGUUCCAUUAGAUAGUAGGCGGGGUAACGGCCCACCUAGUCUUCGAUGGAUAGGGGUUCUGAGAGGAAGGUCCCCCACAUUGGAACUGAGACACGGUCCAAACUCCUACGGGAGGCAGCAGUGAGGAAUAUUGGUCAAUGGGCGAGAGCCUGAACCAGCCAAGUAGCGUGAAGGAUGACUGCCCUAUGGGUUGUAAACUUCUUUUAUAAAGGAAUAAAGUCGGGUAUGCAUACCCGUUUGCAUGUACUUUAUGAAUAAGGAUCGGCUAACUCCGUGCCAGCAGCCGCGGUAAUACGGAGGAUCCGAGCGUUAUCCGGAUUUAUUGGGUUUAAAGGGAGCGUAGAUGGAUGUUUAAGUCAGUUGUGAAAGUUUGCGGCUCAACCGUAAAAUUGCAGUUGAUACUGGAUAUCUUGAGUGCAGUUGAGGCAGGCGGAAUUCGUGGUGUAGCGGUGAAAUGCUUAGAUAUCACGAAGAACUCCGAUUGCGAAGGCAGCCUGCUAAGCUGCAACUGACAUUGAGGCUCGAAAGUGUGGGUAUCAAACAGGAUUAGAUACCCUGGUAGUCCACACGGUAAACGAUGAAUACUCGCUGUUUGCGAUAUACAGCAAGCGGCCAAGCGAAAGCGUUAAGUAUUCCACCUGGGGAGUACGCCGGCAACGGUGAAACUCAAAGGAAUUGACGGGGGCCCGCACAAGCGGAGGAACAUGUGGUUUAAUUCGAUGAUACGCGAGGAACCUUACCCGGGCUUAAAUUGCAGAUGAAUUACGGUGAAAGCCGUAAGCCGCAAGGCAUCUGUGAAGGUGCUGCAUGGUUGUCGUCAGCUCGUGCCGUGAGGUGUCGGCUUAAGUGCCAUAACGAGCGCAACCCUUGUUGUCAGUUACUAACAGGUCAUGCUGAGGACUCUGACAAGACUGCCAUCGUAAGAUGUGAGGAAGGUGGGGAUGACGUCAAAUCAGCACGGCCCUUACGUCCGGGGCUACACACGUGUUACAAUGGGGGGUACAGAGGGCCGCUACCACGCGAGUGGAUGCCAAUCCCAAAAACCUCUCUCAGUUCGGACUGGAGUCUGCAACCCGACUCCACGAAGCUGGAUUCGCUAGUAAUCGCGCAUCAGCCACGGCGCGGUGAAUACGUUCCCGGGCCUUGUACACACCGCCCGUCAAGCCAUGGGAGCCGGGGGUACCUGAAGUGCGUAACCGCGAGGAGCGCCCUAGGGUAAAACUGGUGACAGGG